rnacentral:rRNA from 1 species
UGGGGAAUAUUGGACAAUGGGCGAAAGCCUGAUCCAGCCAUGCCGCGUGAGUGAAGAAGGCCUUAGGGUUGUAAAGCUCUUUCAGCGGGGAAGAUAAUGACGGUACCCGCAGAAGAAGCCCCGGCUAACUUCGUGCCAGCAGCCGCGGUAAUACGAAGGGGGCUAGCGUUGUUCGGAUUUACUGGGCGUAAAGCGCGCGUAGGCGGAUUGUUAAGUCAGUGGUGAAAUCCCGAGGCUCAACCUCGGAACUGCCUUUGAUACUGGCAAUCUGGAGUUCGGGAGAGGUGAGUGGAAUUCCGAGUGUAGAGGUGAAAUUCGUAGAUAUUCGGAGGAACACCAGAAGCGAAGGCGGCUCACUGGCCCGAUACUGACGCUGAGGCGCGAAAGCGUGGGGAGCAAACAGGAUUAGAUACCCCUGUAGUCC